UACGUAGGCAGCGAGCGUUGUUCGGAGUUACUGGGCGUAAAGCGUGCGUAGGCGGUGUCUUAAGUUUGUUGUGAAAUCUCCCGGCUUAACCGGGAGGGUGCGGCGAAUACUGAGAUGCUGGAGUGCCGGAGAGGUAAGCGGAAUUCUUGGUGUAGCGGUGAAAUGCGUAGAUAUCAGGAGGAACACCUGCGGUGUAGACGGCUUACUGGACGGUAACUGACGCUGAGGCACGAAAGCGUGGGUAGCGAACAGG
rnacentral:rRNA from 1 species